rnacentral:rRNA from 1 species
AUUGAACGCUGGCGGCAGGCUUAACACAUGCAAGUCGAGCGAGCGGCGGACGGGUGAGUAAUGUCUGGGAAACUGCCUGAUGGAGGGGGAUAACUACUGGAAACGGUAGCUAAUACCGCAUACCAUCAGAUCUGCCCAGAUGGGAGUAGCUAGUAGGUGGGGUAAUGGCUCACCUAGGCUACGAUCCCUAGCUGGUCUGAGAGGAUGACCAGCAACACUGGAAGUGAGACAGGGUCCAGACUCCUCCGGGAGGAAGCAGUGGGGAAUAUUGCACAAUGGGCGCACGCCUGACGCAGCACUGCCGCGUGUGGGAAGAAGGCCUUCGGGUUGUAAAGCACUUUCAGCGAGGAGGCGGUACUCGCAGAAGAAGCAACGGCUAACUACGUGCCAGCAGCCGCGGUAAUAC